GACGAACGCUGGCGGCGUGCCUAAUACAUGCAAGUCGAACGCAGUGGGGACGGGUGAGUAACACGUGGGUAACCUCCCAUCAGAGGGGAUAACACUUGGAAACAGGUGCUAAACCGAUACUGAUGGAUGGAACCGCGGUGCAUUAGCUAGUUGGUGAGGUAAAGGCUCACCAGGGCCAGGAUGCAUAGCCGAACUGGAAGGGUGAUAGGCCACACGGGGACUGAGACACGGCCCAGACUCCUACGGGAGGCAGCAGUAGGGAAUCUGCGGCAAUGGACGAAAGUCUGACCGAGCAACGCCGCGUGAGUGAAGAAGGUUUUCGGAGCGUAAAACUCGGUUGGUAGAGAAGCGGUAGCUAACCAGAAAGCCACGGCUAACUACGUGCCAGCAGCCGCGGUAAUUC
rnacentral:rRNA from 1 species